rnacentral:rRNA from 1 species
UACGUAGGGGGCAAGCGUUAUCCGGAUUUACUGGGUGUAAAGGGAGCGUAGACGGCAAUACAAGUCGGAAGUGAAAUACCCGGGCUUAACCUGGGAACUGCUUUGGAAACUGUAUGGCUGGAGUGCUGGAGAGGUAAGCGGAAUUCCUAGUGUAGCGGUGAAAUGCGUAGAUAUAUGGAGGAACACCGGUGGCGAAAGCGGCUCUCUGGCCUGUAACUGACACUGAGGCUCGAAAGCGUGGGGAGCAAACAGG